UACUCUCACACUCUCUGAUCCUUUGGAUUCAGGGAGUGGUGGACUUGGGUGUUUGCCGCUUUCCUUGUGGCUCACCUCAAAUGCGUCAGUGCACCUCUUGGUUGGACAUAGUACGGCGUGAUAAGUAUCUUCGCCGGCACCUCGUGAGAGGGUGGCCGAUCGGGAGCUCUGUGCUUUCAAACUGUCUUCGGACAAUCUCUGACA
rnacentral:misc_RNA from 1 species